rnacentral:rRNA from 1 species
UACGGAGGGGGUUAGCGUUGUUCGGAAUUACUGGGCGUAAAGCGCGCGUAGGCGGAUUAGAAAGUUGGGGGUGAAAUCCCAGGGCUCAACCCUGGAACUGCCUCCAAAACUACUAGUCUAGAGUUCGAGAGAGGUGAGUGGAACUCCGAGUGUAGAGGUGAAAUUCGUAGAUAUUCGGAAGAACACCAGUGGCGAAGGCGGCUCACUGGCUCGAUACUGACGCUGAGGUGCGAAAGUGUGGGGAGCAAACAGG